CGUAGGGUGCGAGCGUUAAUCGGAAUUACUGGGCGUAAAGCGUGCGCAGGCGGUUUUGUAAGUCAGUGGUGAAAUCCGGCAGCUCAACUGUCGAACUGCCAUUGAUACUGCAGGACUUGAAUUAUUGUGAAGUAACUAGAAUAUGUAGUGUAGCGGUGAAAUGCUUAGAUAUUACAUGGAAUACCAAUUGCGAAGGCAGGUUACUAACAAUACAUUGACGCUGAUGGACGAAAGCGUGGGGAGCGAACAGGAUUAGAUACCCUGGUAGUCCACGCCGUAAACGAUAGAUACUAGCUGUUUGGUAGCAAUACUGAGUGGCUAAGCGAAAGUGAUAAGUAUCCCACCUGGGGAGUACGGGCGCAAGCCUG
rnacentral:rRNA from 1 species